rnacentral:lncRNA from 1 species
GAUGUGCAUGCAUAAGGAUGCUUAAGAACAGACCUGGUAUUAUUUCUCAGUCACUAUCUUUUUGUUUUGGAGACAGAGUCUGACACUGGCCUGCAUCUCAUGGAUUCUGCUAGACUGGCUGGCUGGUUUCCAGAACUGACCUGUCUUUCCUCCCCAAGACUGGAUCAUAGUUUCUCAUCACACUGGAAUGCGCCAAAUUGGCUUGGCUGACCAGCUAGCCCAGGGUCCCUCCCAUCUCUGCUGGAAUUACAGGCCUGAGCCACCAGAAUCAGCUUUAUUAACAUGGUUUGGAGGUGGAGCUCAGGCCUUCAUGCAAAUCGAGUGCUUUACUGACUGAGCCACUCCCUAGCCCAGGAGGCUAUUAAACCAGAUCCAGAGCACAGAGAAAGAUGGGACUUUCAACCUCCCCUCCAUGUCCAAGAAGACACAUGAACACAUCAGUAGAUCAGAGUAAUGUGAAAUCCAUUCAGCUGCUGGAG